CAGUCAUUCUUAAAGUUUGAUUUGUGAUUUUGUCUUUUCUGAUAGAUUUUGUAAUUUUACAUCCAGGAUCUUCAGGAGAAUUAAGUGAAACCCAAACUCCUUGUUCUCAACGAAGACCUGGCGAAAAACAUGAGUUUGCUCCCUCAAGAAGAAGAUGUAGUCCUGCAGCUGCUGCCAGUACUCCUCCCUGCUACACCUUACUCAUUUGGGAGAAGUUUCAGACCCAUCAACCUGGAGGUUCAGAAGGCUUCAUUGAUAUCCAGCCUAUCGUUUCAGAAGAGAAAGGAGCGGCCAUCUUCUCAACAACAUGGAUUUUCUCCCUUAAGACAGACAAGAUGAUGUAGCCCUGGAGCUGCUGCCAGUACUCCGCCCCACUCAACCUUAAGCAUUUGGGAGAAGAGUUUCAGACCCAUCAACCUGGAGGUUCAGAAGGCUUCAUUGAUAUCCAGCCUGUUGGGACAAACCUGAUGGAGAGGUGGAGCAUCUACAAAAUGCAACAACCCAUAUGUCCUCAUGCAGGGAGACAGGCAAAAAUGCUAUAGUGUCGUUAAAAAUGCUCCUUGUUUAAUGGCUGAAAGUUUUACUUGUAGUUUUCUUUAAAACAUACUUUUUACAAGAAAUGUUUUCUAAUGUGUAGUAACAGAUACUUCUGGAGUUGUAGCCAAAUGAGUUGAAGUGAUUUAACUAUAUACUUUUGAAACAACUUACUUAUGUUUUGUAACUUUUGUAAGUGAAAUCUGUUGGCUCUAUAUAUGUAUCAAG